GCGCAAUUGGCUAGCGCGUCUGACUGUUAAUCAGGAGGUUGGUGGUUCAAGCCCACC
rnacentral:tRNA from 1 species